AAUAAUUUCCAGUGAGGAUAGACGACUAAGAUGGCUUUUCAGCAAUUUUUUAGGAGGAAACUCCAAUCUCACUUUCGUUGAGGAUAGACGAAUAAGAUGGCUUUUCAGGAUCUUUUUGGCAGGAAGCUCCAACCUCACUUUCGUUGAGGAUAGACGACUAAGAUGGCUUUUCAGCAAUUUUUGAGGGGGAAACUCCAAUCUCAUUUUCAUACCCUCAGGUGAAAUAUGCGGCAAUAGCUUAUUGCUGUGCAAGAAGUGUCAUAUAGAGUGAAAAGGAAAUUGAGUAUUAAUUCAAAAACGAU